rnacentral:rRNA from 1 species
AGAACGAACGCUGGCGGCAGGCUUAACACAUGCAAGUCGAACGCGUGUAGCAAUACACGAGUGGCGCACGGGUGAGUAACGCGUGGAUAUCUGCCUUUUGGUUCGGAAUAACCCCGGGAAACUGGGGCUAAUACCGGAUGGUUCCUACGGGAUAAAGAUUUAUCGCCAAAAGAUGAGUCCGCGUACGAUUAGCUAGUUGGUGAGGUAAUGGCUCACCAAGGCGACGAUCGUUAGCUGGUCUGAGAGGACGAUCAGCCACACUGGGACUGAGACACGGCCCAGACUCCUACGGGAGGCAGCAGUGGGGAAUAUUGGACAAUGGGGGCAACCCUGAUCCAGCCAUGCCGCGUGAGUGAUGAAGGCCUUCGGGUUGUAAAGUCUCUUUUGUGCGGGAAGAUAAUGACGGUACCGACAAGAAUAACGCCCCGGCUAACUUCGUGCCAGCAGCCGC